GUCCUCCAAAUAAAAUAUAAAAAAUAAUUGGGGAGAGAGAGUGAGUUGAGUUGCUUGAAUCUUGUGUUUAUGGUGAAGAAGAUAAUAUUGAAGGGUAUCCACAAUCCCAACAACCAUAUCUUCUUCCAUUAAGACUAAAUAUUAGAGAUCACACCUUCCUCAGUUGACUUUGGUUAUUGAGUGAUGUUUUCUUUACAGCAAAGUGAUGAUAAAUGAGUUGGCAUUUUAAGAUUCUCUUAAAUCCUUGCCAACAACACCAAAUCUCCCAAGAUCUCAUUGUGAAUUAUGCUAGCUAAAUCAUGUUAAAAUUAUUCCAAAGCAAAAGAGUCUACUAGGUACAAAUAAUUCACAUAAAGUUAUAUUGAUUUGAAGCUUAAGGAAAUUAUCCAUAGAGUUUUGGAAGGCAUGGAAAAUAUUGAAUUAGGUGAGUCCAUGUCAAGGCGGUGUAGAUAUUUUAAUCAAUGCAAAAGGAAAUAAUUUAGCCCUCUCCAGAGUGAUACAACAACUAAUUAAUGAGACAAGUUAUUGAUGUUGUUACUUGCGUUUCUGCUAAUGUCAAUCAAAACUCUCUCCAUUAAAUUCAAUCCGAGGUACGUGAUACUAAAUGUAUCAAUGUUCAUGCACUGCAAAGAAAGUUGAUUGAUAUAAUCAAACAUUGAUUUGGAGGCUCUUAAGUGGAAAUCAUGCUAGGUGUAAGUAAUCAUUAAGACCGUCUUUCCCUCUUAUCUCGAAUGAUAUUAUGUGAUAUUAGUUACUACUUAUUAAUUCAAUAAAAGAGGUUAGGAAACAUAAAAUUCUUUUAUGUACUUUAUAAUUAAGCUAAUAAAAAUAAUGGUGGUUUUGAGCAUAAUACUAUAUAUAUAUAUAACUUGCAAGAGAUCAAUGAUGAAGAUAUAUCCACGUGAAGAGUCUCAUAUCGGUCCUUGAAAAAAUUUAGAUAAUUCUCAUCUCUUGAUCAACUACCUUUUGAGAUUUACUUAGACUUUUUGAUCCAUUUGGUUAAGGAGUAAUAUAUUUGUGAUCACUUCAUGAUGUAGUUGCGGAUCAUCAUGAUGGGAUAUAUAGAAUGAGAAAUGGAUCUUUUGACAUCCUUAUGUCAUAGGAAAAGAUGACAAAUCUUUGCAUGUGGAGUACUAUAUGCAUAUAUAGUGUAAUACUAAAUGUUGCAUGUUUUGCUGGAAUAAAAGGUCUCAUCUCUCUGACAUACAUAUUAGAAUAUAGAUGGUCGUAGAAAUAUAUGUAGAAGUCUCACAUCUAGGAUUAGAGAAAUCAAGGAUGCAUUGAUAGGUUGAUCAAUAUUGAUAUAUUGAUAUGUUGAUCAAUAUUGAUAGUAUUGAUCUAUUGAUCAAUAAGAUGUUAUUGAUAUGUGAUUAAUUAUUGAUGAAUAAUAGUGUUAAUAGUGUUAAGCACAUACUCCUUAUAUAGGAGAGAAUUGUAGAGUUUAACUAUAUUUAGAGUUCUACUACAAUACUUAUUACUAUUAUAAUAAUAAAAUAAUUAAAUCCUAAUUAUGCUAUAAUUCUAAUAGUAAUCUAAUCCUAAUCAUAAUAUAAUUCUAUUCAUAAUUUAAUUAUAGUGAAAACAUAAUCCUAAUAAAAAUAAUUAGUCUAAUCCUAAUGCGACUCUAAUUAUUCAGCAGUGUUGUAACUCGUCAGUCAGCUACGUUGGAUUGUUCCUUCGACAUGUUCCAAUCCUCAACUUUCUUCUUCAUUAACAGAGGUUUUGACCAAACUAAGCCAUUAUAUAA